UACGGGGGGGGCAAGCGUUGUUCGGAAUUACUGGGCGUAAAGGGCUCGUAGGCGGCCAACUAAGUCAUACGUGAAAUCCCUCGGCUUAACCGGGGAACUGCGUCUGAUACUGGAUGGCUUGAGUUCGGGAGAGGGAUGCGGAAUUCCAGGUGUAGCGGUGAAAUGCGUAGAUAUCUGGAGGAACACCGGUGGCGAAGGCGGCAUCCUGGACCAUUACUGACGCUGAGGCGCGAAAGCGUGGGGAGCAAACAGG
rnacentral:rRNA from 1 species